AGAGUUUGAUCCUGGCUCAGAUUGAACGCUGGCGGCAGGCCUAACACAUGCAAGUCGAGCGGAUGACAGGAGCUUGCUCCUGAAUUCAGCGGCGGACGGGUGAGUAAUGCCUAGGAAUCUGCCUGGUAGUGGGGGACAACGUUUCGAAAGGAACGCUAAUACCGCAUACGUCCUACGGGAGAAAGCAGGGGACCUCCGGGCCUUGCGCUAUCAGAUGAGCCUAGGUCGGAUUAGCUAGUUGGUGAGGUAAUGGCUCACCAAGGCGACGAUCCGUAACUGGUCUGAAGAGGAUGGAUCAGUCACCACUGGAAACUGGGAACACGGGUCCAAGACUCCCUACGGGGAGGCAGCCAGUGGGGGAAUAUAUUGGGACAAAUGGGGCGAAAGCCUGGAUCCAACCCUGGCCGCGGGGUGGUUGAAAAAAAGUCCUUCCGAUUUGUAAAAGCACUUUUAAUUGGGGAGGAAAGGGGUGUGAGAAUUAAUACUCCUGCCAUUUUUGACGUUUCCGAACGGAAUAAAACACCGGCUAACUCUUGUGGCAGCAGCCGCGGGAAUUACAGAAGGGUGGCAAGCGGUUUAAUCGGAAUUUACUGGGGCGGUAAAGCGCGCGGUAAGGUGGGUUUGUGUUAGUUGGGAUGUGAAAAACCCCGGGGGUCAAACCUGGGGAACUGCAUUUCAAAAGCCUGAKCAAGCUGAURAGUCAYUGYAGMWAGAUGUAGGGUGCGAAAYUUCCUGUGUAAGCGGUCGAGAUAGCKUAGAUAUAGAAGGAACACCGAGUGGCGAAASGCGAACUACSUGGACUGAUWCUGAACASUGAGUGCGGAAAGCGUGGGAGCAACARGAUUARAUMCCUCGGUAGUCCACGCKGUAGACGAUGUCAUCUAGYCUGUGGRAGCCUUGAGGUCUUAUAGWCGCGCAGCUAMCGCUAUUAAGUKGACYCGCCUGGCGGUAGUUAMCGSCGCAAGGUUAAAACUCAAAGUGAUUGACGGGGGCCCGCACAAGGCGGUGGAGCAUGUGUUUUAAUUCGAAGCAACGCGAAAGACCCUUACCAGCCCUUGACAUCCAAUGAACUUUCCAGAGAUGGAUGGGUGCUUUCGGGACACAUUGAGACCAGGUGUUGCAUGGCUUUCUUCAGUUCGUGCUCGUGAAGAUGUUGGGUUAAAUUCCCGGUAAAGGAGGCGCAACCUUUUUCCUUUAGUUACCCAGCCACGUUAUGGUGGCCACUUCUAAGGAAGACUGCCGGUUGCCAACCGGAAGGAAGGGUGGGGGAUUGACGUCAAGUCAUCAUGGCCCUUACGGCCUGGGCUACACACGUGCUACCAAUGGUCGUUACAGAGGGUUGCCAAGCCGCGAGGUGGAGCUAAUCCCACAAAACCGAUCGUAGUCCGGAUCGCAGUCUGCAACUCGACUGCGUGAAGUCGGAAUCGCUAGUAAUCGCGAAUCAGAAUGUCGCGGUGAAUACGUUCCCGGGCCUUGUACACACCGCCCGUCACACCAUGGGAGUGGGUUGCACCAGAAGUAGCUAGUCUAACCUUCGGGAGGACGGUUACCACGGUGUGAUUCAUGACUGGGGUGAAGUCGUAACAAGGUAACC
rnacentral:rRNA from 1 species